rnacentral:lncRNA from 1 species
UGCCCAGGGUGAGCUGAAAUUUGCAAUCCUCUUGCCUCAACCUCCCAGAUACAGGGAUUACAGUCAUCCACCUCCACACCCAGGUUCAUUAUCUUUUCUUUUACAGUCCAUGUCAAAAGAAGGUCCAGCCAUGGGACAGGCUGCAUGUAAGACAAGCAUCAGAUCUGGAGUGACAGCUACCAGGAUGGGACAAAUUCUGGAGACAGACACAACUAAAGGGAUCGAACGCAGGACCUUGCGCUUGAAGGCAGGAGUUGGAACCACUGAGCUAAAUCCCUGGCCCUGCUUUCACUAUUAACAAGGAUGUAUCAAUAAAAAACAAAUGC